UACAUAGGUGGCGAGCGUUGUCCGGAUUUACUGGGCGUAAAGGGAGCGUAGGCGGACUUUUAAGUGAGAUGUGAAAUACCCGGGCUCAACUUGGGUGCUGCAUUUCAAACUGGAAGUCUAGAGUGCAGGAGAGGAGAAUGGAACUCCUAGUGUAGCGGUGAAAUGCGUAGAGAUUAGGAAGAACACCAGUGGCGAAGGCGAUUCUCUGGACUGUAACUGACGCUGAGGCUCGAAAGCGUGGGGAGCAAACAGGAUUAGAUA
rnacentral:rRNA from 1 species